CCGUUGUACUACUAAGGCUCAGCCUUGCGGUGACCGACGCCGGCUCCCCUCUGGGGGAGGCGGCGGGGUCGAAACCCAUGGGCGCGUCCUCGCAGGUCGUCCAGCGUAGCAAGUCUCUCGCUGAACGAUGUUUGUGGGGGGGGCGCCAGUCAACACGAACGCUUGGCCUCGAAUCAGGUAGGGAUACCCGCUGAACUUAA
rnacentral:misc_RNA from 1 species